rnacentral:lncRNA from 1 species
AAAAAAAACCCUAUAUUUGCACCUUUCCUUUUGAAAAUUUUAUUUUCUAAUACAAAUUCUAUGAAUAUUAGAAAAUUUUGGGUAGGUAAUUACGAUCACGUUAUUUGUAAAACAUGAUACGUUUUAUAUUCUAAUACCACCAAACGUCACAUUGGUCUUACCAUAUGUGUAAGAUGCUCUAAUAAAACAACCUAACCAAUAUCCUGAAUAAUAGAUGAAUGUUGGGCUCUUUUUUUUUUCAUAAUUUAGUAGGUUAUUCAUUUUAAUUCAAUUACAUGUAUUAAAUGAGCCCAUUAUGCUUUAGUUUAUUGUUCAUUUUUGCUCACCCCUCCUAAUCCAAGGUAAUCGUUAAUCCCUCCCCCUUCACAAUUGUGUCGCGUGUAUAAAGAGUAUACACUAACUAUGGUUGGUAUUGGCCACUUAAUACUAUAGUUUGGUGAUAUUCUUAUUCACUUGUAAAUUAGAGGUUUUAUGUUCGAUUCUCGCCAAAAAUUUUAUCCUGAAUAAUAGAUGAAUGUUGGGCUCUUUUUUUUUUCAUAAUUUAGUAGGUUAUUCAUUUUAAUUCAAUUAUAUGUAUCAAAUGAGCCCAUUAUGCUUUAGUUUAUUGUUCAUUUUUGCUCACCCCUCCUAAUCCAAGGUAAUCGUUAAUCCCUCCCCCUUCACAAUUGUGUCACGUGUAUAAAGAGUAUAUACUAACUAUGGUUGGUAUUGGCCACUUAAUACUAUAGUUUGAUGAUAUUUUUAUUCACUUGUAAAUGAGAGGUUUUAGGUUCGAUUCUCGCUAAAGGUGAAUUUGAAUCAAUUUAUUACUAACAUAUUGUGAGGCUAAGCCCACCCCUCCCCCUUAGUUUAGAUAAUAUUGUUUGUUAAAAAAAAAACUAUGGUUGGUAUUUUGACACGUGACACAAUUAUGAAGAAGGAGUAACAAUUACUUUGAGUUUUUUUUUUUUUUUUGACAAACAACGAUAAAUUGGAAUUUCAUUAAUCAUCUCAGAAACAAUACAUAGGUGCCCAUUUGGUACAAUACUCCAGUGACCAAGAAAUGAUCUGGAGGUGAAUUUGCUUGAGCAAGACAACAAUAAUAAACCCCUAGAUAGCAACCAUAUGUACUAAACUUCAACGCCCUCACACAAAGCUGUCACAGAACGAUAGAUAUAACAACUUGUAUCAGCAACUGCAAAGGAUCACUGCCGAAUAGCUAGGCCACAUAAAGUCAUCGUAGCUAAACGAGACCACAUAACACAUUGCUCAAAGUGAAAACCAUAUUCAGCCAACGUUGUAGUGUGACCACAACACUAGUUAGGCGAGAACAACAAGACUAAACUAAGCUAAACUAGCUUGAAAAAAAAAAAAAAAAACCAAACUAAGCAAAACUACUCAGAGAAAUGAACCACAAAUCAGCACAUUCCGAUGGAAGGAUUGGACAAUUAAAUAAGAGAAAGGCCAUUGCGGAUGGGCAGUCCCAUCAGCAAGUCGAGAAAGGCAACGGAGCUACACAUUGAGCCACAGCAAUGGAGAUUACAGAUCUGGAAAACCGUAGGUGGUGGGACAGCCAAAACAGGCGGCCCAGACAGACAAACGUCAGAUUAACCACCCAAGGCAGUGCAACUCCAACGAGCACGACAGGAGGUGGCGGAACCGCCAAAACAUGCGGCCCAGACAUCGCAGAAAGCGGCGCAUCAACAAAUAGGAGUAUAGGGGUGCAUCCACAGAGAUGGGGGUUCCCCAACACCUGGAAAUGACGAGGGAAGUGGCUCCGACCCACCAAGCAGCCCCAAUCUAAGCCCAAACCCCGAAUCGAACUCAAACAAACGGAAUACCUUGAGAAGUUAUAACCCGAAUCUGGGAAGGAGACCCGAAAUCAUGGAAACAACUGUGCACAAAAAGGUGGGGAAGAAGAAAAAGGGGUGGGGGAAGCUAAUGGAGGGUAGAAGGAGGCGCGGGAUAGAGGGUGGCACAGGGAGAGGGAGAGACUAGGAGGAGGGUGAGGAAUGGCUGCCGCCGACUCCAAGCAGGAGCAAGGAGCCGGCGGUAAAGAUUGCAGAUCCUAGGGUUUGGUUUUGAGAGGGAGAAUCACCUCAAACUUGAAGUGUGUUUAAUGCAGUAAGGCCAAAUACUUAUGAUUACUUUGAGAAGGCGUUUACGUACACGUAAUGGGAAUCAAAACAUGAAAUCGUAUUCCGAUUACGGACCACUCCUUUGUUUACUAAAUUUUAAGGAAUCAAAAAUAU